AGCCAGCCUCGCCAAGUUUAGCAAGGCUUAUUUCUAGGUUUACUUCUGAGUAGAAUAGAAUAUACCAUUAGUGUUUUUAUUUACCAAGUCUAGCAUGUGAUAUGUGACUUCUAGUCAUUUAAUUUUAAAGCAACAGUUAAAAGAUUUUCAUUUUGUGCAAAAUCAUGAAUACACUCCUACUGAGGAUAAGAACUUACUGGACACUAAAAAUCUUUGACCAUAUAUUUCACUUUAUUUUAAUCUAUCCAGAUGUUAUAAUCAUCUGCAGGGAUAAUAAUUCAGGACGGUAUAUAAUCUAGCACCGCAAAUCUUGUUCUCCCUUUAAAUAAAAGUUCUUUAAAAAAACAACAACC